rnacentral:lncRNA from 1 species
AUUCCUUUAAAAAUGCCCACUGAGGUGACACAGGCACAAAGCAGACGCAGCCUACACAACCCUGAAUGACAAGCCCCCAUGUGUGAUAGGUAGUGAAAACGUCCUCCUCAGUGAAACCCAGAUUAUUUCACAGAAGCACCUCCAGAAAAAAAAACAGAAUGUUGUUCCAGACAGGAAAAUCAAGGUAUGUGAUUUAUCUGUGUCUGGCCUGCCUCUCCCGUGCUCUUACCCCACCUUUAUUCUUCCUUGUAUUCUUUCUUUCUUAGGCUUGUAAACUCAAGGUGUUGAGGGAGGAGAAGGCUGGCUGAACUUUCAUUUCCUGCAAGGGUUUCCUGUAUGAUGUAACAAUGAGAGUGGGAGCAGCAAACAGCUCCUCAAGCAUUAACUGUGUCAGGAUGUUUGAGAUUGUGCAAAGCAAAUGGUACUCAGAGGCUCGAAGCAAAGUUUUUCUCCAUCGAUUUUUCAAUGAGGAUGAAGAGUCACACAAAGAAUGCACAAACUGAUUACCCGUGUAAUCAGUACUUACCUACUCACAGAAAUCAGAGGUCUAUGGACAAUCAAUAUGGAUGCCAACUACACUGUUUUUCAUUAG